rnacentral:misc_RNA from 1 species
GUGGACUACAAGGGUUUCUAAUCCUGUUUGCUCCCCACGCUUUCGUGCCUCAGCGUCAAUAUAUGCGUAGUAAGCUGCCUUCGCAAUAGGUGUUCUAUGUCAUAUCUAAGCAUUUCACCGCUACAUGACAUAUUCCGCUUACCUCCACAAUAUUCAAGACAGAUAGUAUCAAUGGCAGUUCUAGAGUUGAGCUCUAGGAUUUCACCACUGACUUACCUGCCCGCCUACGCACCCUUUAAACCCAGUGAAUCCGGACAACGCUUGCACCCUACGUAUUACCGCGGCGGCUGGCAC